UGAGGCAGGUGUGUGUGUGUGUGGCAGGUGUGUGUGUGUGGCAGGUGUGUGUGUGGCAGGUGAGGCAGGUGUGUGUGUGUGUGUGUGGCAGGUGUGUGUGUGUGUGUAGGGCAGGUGAGGCAGGUGAGGUUAGUGGUGGCCGGUUGUUACUGCAGGUGAGGACGGAUCAGCUGAUCUGUAAUGACAUGAGAGUUAGUGGACGGCAGAGAAACACAGAGCUCUCCUUCAUCUUCACUGAGGAACCAGUCAAACAACCAUGUUACUGUCAGCUGUGUUCCAUCAAAAUGUACCUGGUGUGUUUAUUGUGUCACGUUCAUUAGAAAAUGUGUAAAAUGAUCCUGAACGCUCAUAAUCAUCUGGAGAACAGUCGUGGUUCUGAGUUCUUCUCAACAGUUACUGUCUGAGUGCUUCUGUCAUCAAGAACAGGAGACAAACUGAAUUAUUAAUUUAUUUAUAGAUGCAGAUGACCAGUAUCAGCCUGAAAACACAGUGAGUCCACAUCAUAUAGUCUUACAUGGUCCAAGUUCAAAUUUAAAUCAAUACCUCUGAACAUGAAGACAGCAAAAUAUUUUUCUGAUGUUGCGACCUCGUAGUGCCUCGCCUCAGAGCAACAGGAGGAUUAAUCUCUGUAUAGUUCUUAACUUUGUGCAUCUAACAUCAACAACAAGAGCUUGUCACAUCAGUGAAUUAUAUAAGGACCAAAAUGCAGUAGAUGCCUCCACAUAUAGAAUACAGGUAGGACAAAAGAAACUCCACACAGCAGGACCAGGAAGAGUCACCAGAUGACUCGACUAAGACAGAACUGAAGACUGGACUUCAUUCUGAACUAAACUAACACGGGGACGAGGUGCAGGUGGAGAGAGGAGGAGGAACACAGGUGAGGGGAACGAGUGGAAUAGGAGCAGGAAGAAGGCGGGGCUAAUGAAGGUGAUGCAGGGCAGGUGUGGAGAGAAAGCAGAAGGGGGCGGAGCAAAGAACACAGGAGGGAAACAAUAAAGAUGCCACAGAAACCCAGAAAACACACAGAACACAUCAGAUGAGACUGAACUGAAAACCAGCUGAUUCUAAGAACAAAACACAUAAAUAAUAUGUUGUGUGUUCGUGGUUUGUUAUGUAAGAAGAUGUUGGGACGUUCAUCGACAGCAGUGGAGGAGAAGAUAAUGAUCACUGAUCAACACAGAGCUGUACGAUAACAACAGGUGUGGAGGAAAGACAGCGAGGAAGUCUGACUCCCUGGCGGACUCAUUGAACUUCUCUCAGUUUGUUCUGAUCACCGUCCGUUUCUUUGGGACGGGCGCCAUCUUGUGGAGCCCCUGCAGACUUGAGUGGUGAACCCCAAAGUUGAUGAGCAGUCAGACGGAACAUGUCGGUCUGUAACAAACUCCGUCAAAGUCCGUCAGUAUCUUCAUUUAGAGGACGGACAGACGGAUGGAACCUGCAGACUGAGGCGGAGUGGGACUCACUUCAGCCCGGAGGACGGCUCACUGAUGACGGAGAGAGGAGUGAGGGGAUCCACAGGUAGGACCAGGAUGAAGGCAUGGACGCCCUCAGGAUCACAGAGGGAGAUACACCUGAGUGAUUCCUUCAUCACUUCCUCCAGAGGUUUUCCACACAAGGCAGGCAGCUCCACCAGGGAAACCCAAC